CGCACAUCGUCCACCGAGGUGAAGCCACCGUUGUCCGGCUUGUUCUUCAUGUACCGUCGCACGGCCUCGCGUCCCAGCCAGCCCACGGGAUCUCAGCUAACAACUCAGAGGGUACAGAAAAACUAUUUUUCCUCCUCUACAAGAAUUAGUCCUAAAUUUUUCCAUUAAAGAAUUAUCCAAGGUUUAUACUCACUCUGGCUUCCCUAAGGGUUACGUUUCAGUGUGUGCACGAAGAUGCUGCUCUUUAUGAAGUCUCCAAGAGAUGGACAAUAAUCCCGACACAGCAAAAGUGCCUCAGCCCUUCCCUAGCAGUUAGCAUUAGCAGCCACUCAAGAUCAUUUGAGAUUUAUAUGCAUUGUACUGUUAACCAUAACUUUCAGAGAAGAGGGAAGUCAAUGAGGACUGUUUAGAGUGAAAGAAUGUUCAAAAAAGGAGGUGGGACUUACGUUGGGACUUGAAGAAUAUAUGUACUUUGGUGGAAGGGAGAAGAGAAAUUACAGGUAAGGAAUCACACAAUGAAGACACAGAAAAAAGAAUACACAUCACAAGUUCUAAAAGCAAUGACCCUAGUAUGGCCAGAAACGAUGAACAGAGAGCACUUAAGCGUCCAGCAAGGGGGAAGGUUACACAGACUCAGCACCUCCAUACGAUGGAAUACUAUGGUGGCAUCAGAAAGUAUAAGACAGGUUUGCAUGUUCUGACAUGGAAGGAUAUAUGUGAAAUAUUGAAUUGAAGAAAUGUAGACUAUAUAGUAUGCUUCCUUUUUUGUAAUUAAAAUAAUCACACACAUGUAUUUGUCUCUGUGUUCAUGCACCCUUCGAAAAAGAUCUGGAGCCACGCACGCCACACUGCAAACAGCGGUUGCCUCUGCCGAGUGGGAAGGGGCUGAGGGGCUCUUCCUUGUUAUUCAUAGACUAUACCACGCACAUUUUUUUCAGUGAAUGUAUACUACUUUCCUAAUUUUUAAAAAACUGAUGAGUGUUUUUUCAUUCAAGCAG